GAUGAACGCUAGCGACAGGCCUAACACAUGCAAGUCGAGGGGCAGCACAAGGAGCAAUCUGAGGUGGCGACCGGCGCACGGGUGAGUAACACGUAUGCAACCUGCCUGUAAGCGGGGGAUAACCCGUUGAAAGACGGACUAAUACCGCAUAAUACUGGAGAUCUGCAUGGAUAUUCAGUUAAACAUUUAUGGCUUACAGAUGGGCAUGCGCAUGAUUAGAUAGUUGGAGAGGUAACGGCUCCCCAAGUCAACGAUCAUUAGGGGUUCUGAGAGGAAGGUCCCCCACACUGGGACUGAGACACGGCCCAGACUCCUACGGGAGGCAGCAGUGGGGAAUAUUGGUCAAUGGACGCAAGUCUGAACCAGCCACGUCGCGUGAAGGAAGACGGCCCUACGGGUUGUAAACUUCUUUUAUACGGGAAUAAAGUGCCCCACGCGUGGGGUUUUGCAUGUACCGUAUGAAUAAGGAUCGGCUAACUCCGUGCCAGC
rnacentral:rRNA from 1 species